GACGAACGCUGGCGGCGUGCUUAACACAUGCAAGUCGAACGGAAAGGCCCUGCUUUUGUGGGGUGCUCGAGUGGCGAACGGGUGAGUAACACGUGAGUAACCUGCCCUUGACUUUGGGAUAACUUCAGGAAACUGGGGCUAAUACCGGAUAGGAGCUCCUGCUGCAUGGUGGGGGUUGGAAAGUUUCGGCGGUUGGGGAUGGACUCGCGGCCUAUCAGCUUGUUGGUGGGGUAGUGGCUUACCAAGGCUUUGACGGGUAGCCGGCCUGAGAGGGUGACCGGCCACAUUGGGACUGAGAUACGGACCAGACGCCUACGGGAGGCAGCAGUGGGGAAUAUUGCACAAUGGGCGGAAGCCUGAUGCAGCAACGCCGCGUGCGGGAUGACGGCCUUCGGGUUGUAAACCGCUUUCGCCUGUGACGAAGCGUGAGUGACGGUAAUGGGUAAAGAAGCACCGGCUAACUACGUG
rnacentral:rRNA from 1 species